rnacentral:rRNA from 1 species
UCUUCCACAUCGGGGGCCGCGGUGUCCAUGAAGGACUACCUCAAGCGGUACCAGUCGGGCCCCGCCGCCGCCGGCGACCAGAAGAAGGCCAAGAAGAAGAAGAAGAACCCCAAGCCCUCGGCCGGAGGGGUGCUAAUCGUCGACGAGGACCCCGUGUGGCAGAAGCCGGUGCAGAUCCCGGAGGACGAGCCCUCGUCGGGGGACGAGAAGCCUCAGGUGGACGAGGACAUCGAGGUGAAGCGGAUGCGGCGCAUGGAGGCGAUCCGGGCCGCCCGCCCCUACAACUCCAUCGCUAACGACGGCAGCGGGUGGGUCACUCUGCCUGUUCCGGAGCCUGCGGGCAGUGGCUCGCCCCGCCGCCGCCGGAACGACACUCCGUCGCCUGAGAGGGGAGGUGGCGCCGGGAGGAAGGAGGACCUCUCUCCCCCGCGGCGAAGGCAGCGGCGUGACACGCCAUCUCCUAAGCGUGGAGGUGCUGAGGGGAGUGAUAUUUCGCCUCCGAGGCAGAGGCAAAGGCGGCGUGACACACCCUCACCGGAUGGCAAGGGUACAGGAGAGGGAGGCGAUCUGUCACCGCCACGGAAGUCCAGGCGGCAAGCCAAUCCCUCUCCUCCAAGGAGGCGGGCUCGCCAUGAUUCCGAGGAACCCCAGGACAUCUCACCACCACGGAGGCGCACGAGGCACGACUCCGAGGAGCCUCAGAACCACUCCCCCCCUCGGCGCCGGACUCGGCAUGACUCGGAGGAGCCUCAGAACCACUCCCCCUCUCGGCGCCGGUCUCGGUAUGACUCGGAGGAGCCUGGAGACAUCUCUCCGCCACGAAGACGGAAGCGCCAGGACUCUGCACAGCUGGACGACCUGUCGCUCGCAAGAAGACAAAAUUUGGGACAGAGCCUGGGUGAUGGGGAUAUUUCUCCACCAAGGAAGGGUCGGAAGUCUGCAUCAGAUGAUUUAUCUCCACCUCGUAAGGAGAGAGACACUUCUCCUCCAAGGAAGGUUAGAAAGGAAGGAGCUCCGAAAGAGACAAUGAGAGCUGGGUUGAUGUCAGCAGAGGAAGUUAAAGAGGACAUCAGAAAGAUUAAGGAGGAUGAGAAGCUCAAGUUUGCAGCACAGGACCCUUCGUUCACUGGUAAAGGGGCAAAGGUAGUGUUCCGAGAUAAGGAAGGAAAAAGGAUAAAUCAAGAAGACAUACAGAAGGCAAAGAAAGACGAGAAGCCAAAGGAAAAACAUAUAGAAUGGGGUAAAGGUUUGGUGCAGAAACGAGCAGCCGAGGCUCGAGUGAAGGAGCUUGAAGAUGUGAAGGAUCAGCCAUUUGCAAGAACAAGGGAUGAUCCUGAGCUUGACGGCAUGCUCAAAAACAGACUCCGAUGGGGUGAUCCUAUGGCUCAUCUUGUCAAGCGCAAAGAUACAGAUUUUCUUCUCAAUGACUUGGGAGAUGAUGAAAAGAUGAAGGAAUCUGGAUUUAUAGUUCCUCAAAAUGUACCUGCUCACAGCUGGCUGAAGCGUGGGGUAGAUCCUCCUCCAAACCGUUAUGGCAUAAAACCAGGCCGUCAUUGGGAUGGAGUGGACCGCAGCAAUGGAUACGAGAAGGACAUGUACAAGCUAAAGAAUGACAAGCAGGCCACGGAGCAGGAGGCAUACCUUUGGUCCGUCGCAGAUAUGUGA